rnacentral:rRNA from 1 species
UACGGGGAGGGCAGCUGUCGUUCGGAUUUGAUCUUGGGCGUAAAGGGCGCGUAGGCGGUCAGCACAAGUCAGUUGUGAAAUCUCCGGGCUUAACUCGGAAAGGUCAACUGAUACUGUGCGACUAGAGUGCGGAAGGGGCAACUGGAAUUCUCGGUGGUAGCGGUGAAAUGCGUAGAUAUCGAGAGGAACACCUGCGGCGAAGGCGGGUUGCUGGGCCAUUCCUGACGCUGAGACGCGAAAGCUAGGGGAGCGAACAGG